rnacentral:rRNA from 1 species
GGGUUGUGAGGUUAAGCGACUAAGCGUACACGGUGGAUGCCCUGGCAGUCAGAGGCGAUGAAGGACGUGCUAAUCUGCGAUAAGCGCCGGUAAGGUGAUAUGAACCGUUAUAACCGGCGAUUUCCGAAUGGGGAAACCCAGUGUGACUCGUCACACUAUCAUUAACUGAAUCCAUAGGUUAAUGAGGCGAACCGGGGGAACUGAAACAUCUAAGUACCCCGAGGAAAAGAAAUCAACCGAGAUUUCCCCAGUAGCGGCGAGCGAACGGGGAUGAGCCCAGAGCCUGAAUCAGCAUGUGUGUUAGUGGAAGCGUCUGGAAAGGCGCGCGAUACAGGGUGACAGCCCCGUACACAAAAGCGCAUAUGCUGUGAGCUCGAUGAGUAGGGCGGGACACGUGGUAUCCUGUCUGAAUAUGGGGGGACCAUCCUCCAAGGCUAAAUACUCCUGACUGACCGAUAGUGAACCAGUACCGUGAGGGAAAGGCGAAAAGAACCCCGGCGAGGGGAGUGAAAAAGAACCUGAAACCGUGUACGUACAAGCAGUGGGAGCCCCACCACUAAGCCAGUGGUGAACUCCACAUACGCAUCCUUUGCUGAGGAUGCGGUUAACGGAGCGAAAGCGACGUUCAACCGCAAAAGAAGCAGAGGGGGCUUAGUGGUGG